GGAGGCGCCGCGGCCGGGAGGUGGUGCGCGAGGGGCUGGUGCGCAGAGGGGAGGUGCUGAGGGAUCGGGGCCGCCGUGCUGGCCAGGGGUUAGUAGCCCACGCUGACUUCAAGCUGACUUCAAACUCUCCGUGAUCCUCCACCCACAGCCUCCUGAGUGCAAAGGUUGCAAACCUGCAGCACCACGCCUGGCUGCAUUCAAAUCUUCACCGGAACCAUUACUGGCCUCAAUCAAGAAUGAAGUAUUUCAAAAGCAUCCCUAGCUGCCUCCUGCCAUGCCUGAAAACAGAGUCACCCUGGUCACUGGGCACACACAGGCUGCCACUCAGAGGGCACAAGUGCCACUAGGAAGGCCCCCAGCACGGAGAAAGCUCUCCCGACCCAGUGCUCAUCCCUGACCCCCCACCCGAUGCCACUCCACCUCUCAGCAGUGAAGUCAACUCUGGAGAGGAUACAAAAAAGGAAAAAAAAAAUCCCUGGGCAAUCUUCUUAGCAGUGUUCAUUUCUGCCCUUAGUGUUUGAGAUGAGCCCUUCCUUAUCCAGCCACAAGUGAUUUUCCAAUUUGCCCACACCAAGUUAUAGGGAUAUUAUAAAAGUUAAACGCUAUACUAUUAAAAGCAUCAAGUAAUAAAAAUGUAAGUGGCUUCAUUAAAAAUCAUGAUAUCAGCCGGGC